AAUGAACGCUGGCGGCAUGCCUUACACAUGCAAGUCGAACGGUAACAGGUCUUCGGAUGCUGACGAGUGGCGAGCGGGUGAGUAAUGCAUCGGAACGUGCCCAGUAGUGGGGGAUAGCCCGGCGAAAGCCGGAUUAAUACCGCAUACGACCUGAGGGUGAAAGGGGGGGAUCGCAAGACCUCUCGCUAUUGGAGCGGCCGAUGUCAGAUUAGCUAGUUGGUGGGGUAAAGGCCUACCAAGGCAACGAUCUGUAGUUGGUCUGAGAGGACGACCGGCCACACUGGGACUGAGACACGGCCCAGACUCCUACGGGAGGCAGCAGUGGGGAAUUUUGGACAAUGGGCGCAAGCCUGAUCCAGCAAUGCCGCGUGCAGGAAGAAGGCCUUCGGGUUGUAAACUGCUUUUGUCAGGGAAGAAAUCUUCUGGGUUAAUACCUCGGGAGGAUGACGGUACCUGAAGAAUAAGCACCGGCUAACUACGUGCCAGCAGCCGCCGUAAGAC
rnacentral:rRNA from 1 species